rnacentral:tRNA from 1 species
UCCCUGAUGGUCCAGUGACUAAGACUCUGCACUCCCAAUGCAGGGGGCCAGGGUUCAAUCCCUGGUCAGGGAA